ACCUCACUUCAUUCUGAGAUUAUAGCUUCCAGAAGUUCCAUCUUCUCUGGGCAGGGUGUCUUUUCCCUCAAGUUACCUGCCUUGGACACUAUGGAUUGCCAGAACUGACACUUGUCCCUCCACUGGGACACAACAGAGCUUCAUCCUCCACCAGUCCAGAGCCUGGAGUCUUUUCAGGGAUGGUGGAGCUGCAACAUGGCUGAUUGAAGCCAUGAAGAAUGGAGAUUGCUGUGCACACAAUUAAUGUUACUGUGGUCCCAGGUGACUUGCUACUCAAGGAGCUAGAAGGCAACACCUGGUGGUACUGUGCAGCCUGCAGACUGAUGUCAGUCUUCACCAAAGAAACUUCCAAGGUAGCUCAUUAUAUGGGUAUAAAAUGAUAUUAAUACUUGUAUAUUGAAGUAAACAAAUAAAAAUGGCAGAAGACACA
rnacentral:lncRNA from 1 species